GACGGACUAGCGUCCUGUAUUGGCGCCCUCUUGAUGGGGUGGCGAAAGUAUAUGGGCUUGUAGCUCAGUUGGUUAGAGCACACGCUUGAUAAGCGUGGGGUCGGAGGUUCAAGUCCUCCCAGGCCCACCAAAUUAUCGCUCACGUGCCGGAUCGCAGCUAUCGCUGCUAGCACUUCGCGUGAGCGCAGCAUGGGCUGCGACGGCCGCUUGGCCUUGCAAAGCUUUGCUUUGAUAAAUGUGAUAAGGGGCUUUAGCUCAGCUGGGAGAGCACCUGCUUUGCAAGCAGGGGGUCAUCGGUUCGAUCCCGAUAAGCUCCACCAUCACUUUUUUGGUGUCGAGUAGGACGGAUGACAGUCAUUCAACAAAAGAAAGAAACGUGUUUGCAGACUGUUAAGACAGUUUGCCUGUUCUGUAUGAAAUCGUGAAGAGAAGAUGUAAUCGGACUGAUCAAUGAUCAGUGUCGCAGAGCUUGCUCAAGCCUGCAUUAUGAUUG
rnacentral:misc_RNA from 1 species